AUGCACGCUGGCGGCGUGCCUAAUACAUGCCAGUCGAGCGAACGGACGAGAAGCUUGCUUCUCUGAUGUUAGCGGCGGACGGGUGAGUAACACGUGGAUAACCUACCUAUAAGACUGGGAUAACUUCGGGAAACCGGAGCUAAUACCGGAUAAUAUUUUGCACCGCAUGGUUCAAAAGUGAAAGACGGUCUUGCUGUCACUUAUAGAUGGAUCCGCGCUGCAUUAGCUAGUUGGUAAGGUAACGGCUUACCAAGGCAACGAUGCAUAGCCGACCUGAGAGGGUGAUCGGCCACACUGGAACUGAGACACGGUCCAGACUCCUACGGGAGGCAGCAGUAGGGAAUCUUCCGCAAUGGGCGAAAGCCUGACGGAGCAACGCCGCGUGAGUGAUGAAGGUCUUCGGAUCGUAAAACUCUGUUAUUAGGGAAGAACAUAUGUGUAAGUAACUGUGCACAUCUUGACGGUACCUAAUCAGAAAGCCACGGCUAACUACGUG
rnacentral:rRNA from 1 species